rnacentral:rRNA from 1 species
GACAGAGGGUGCAAACGUUGUUCGGAAUUACUGGGCGUAAAGCGAGUGUAGGCGGUUUGGUAAGUCGGAUGUGAAAGCCCCGGGCUCAACCCGGGAAGUGCACUCGAUACUGCCAGGCUAGAGUAUCGGAGAGGUUGGUGGAAUUCUCGGUGUAGAGGUGAAAUUCGUAGAUAUCGAGAGGAACACCAGUGGCGAAGGCGGCCAACUGGUCCGGUACUGACGCUGAGGUGCGAAAGCGUGGGGAGCAAACAGG